rnacentral:lncRNA from 1 species
UUGUAUACAAGUUGUAAUACUUUUUAGUAACCCAGAUGAAUCAGUUGAAAACUCCAUGUGAGAAUAGAAUUCAACAAUGAGACUAGGAUAAAUAGAUUUGUCAUGGAAAGAAACUAGACAGUCCCACCCAACAUUUUUAAAGUUGUCAAAUAGUUUUGGAAAACCAUGAAAGGUAAUGACAUUGCCAGGACAAAGAUUAUGUCGCAUGGAUAUAUAUUUAGA